GAGGAUUAAUUGCUUAUUUAAAUUAAUUCUGUAGUUUGCAACUACACUUCACAAAACCGCAAAGUUCCACCAGCAUCUCCAGGACUGGAUCAUCUUACCACACCCUUAGCAAGAGACAGAAUCCUAAAAAGGCCCAUCAAGUUUCCCAUGCACAUCCUAGGAAUAUGAAUAUACGAGAAAGGACCCUCACAUAUCAACUGAACAUUUUUAAUGAAUUAGUGAGGAAUAAAAUCAGAAUGUGUCUGAAUACAUUGGCAUUGCAACUCUUGACUCUCAGAGGAAUCAGCUGUGUGAAAAAAAUUUUGAAAACCCUCAGUGAGAACAAACAUAGCCCAUGAUUCUUAGUUCUUUACUUGAAAGUAGAAAUCAAUAUAGCAGGACACUCAACUAUAUUCACAAAUUCAGUACUGAUAGAAAUAUUUAUGGAGAGAUAGUUACGUGAACCUAAUUUAUGUUAUUUUUC
rnacentral:lncRNA from 1 species